rnacentral:rRNA from 1 species
AACGAACGCUGGCGGCAGGCCUAACACAUGCAAGUCGAGCGCCCUUUCGGGGGAGCGGCGGACGGGUGAGUAACGCGUGGGAAUAUGCCCUUCUCUACGGAAUAGCCUCGGGAUACUGAGAGUAAUACCGUAUACGCCCUGUGGGGGAAAGAUUUAUCGGGGAAGGAUUAGCCCGCGUUGGAUUAGGUAGUUGGUGGGGUAAUGGCCUACCAAGCCGACAAUCCAUAGCUGGUUUGUGAGGAUGAUCAGCCACACUGGGACUGAGACACGGCCCAGACUCCUACGGGAAGCAGCAGUGGGGAAUCUUAGACAAUGGGGGCAACCCUGAUCUAGCCAUGCCGCGUGAGUGAUGAAGGCCUUAGGGUUGUAAAGCUCUUUCAGCUGGGAAGAUAAUGACGGUACCAGCAGAAGAAGCCCCGGCUAACUCCGUG